AUUGAACGCUGGCGGCGUGCCUAACACAUGCAAGUCGAGCGAGCGGCGGACGGGUGGGUAAUUUCUUGGCAACUGCCUGAUGUAGGGGGAUAACUACUGGAAACGGUGGCUAAUGCCGCAUACCAUCAGAUGUGCCCAGAUGGGAUUAGCUAGUGGGUGGGGUAAUGGCUCACCUAGGCGACGAUCCCUAGCUGGUCUGAGAGGGUGACCAGCCACACUGGAACUGAGACACGGCCCAGACUCCUACGGGAGGCAGCAGUGGGGAAUAUUGGACAAUGGGCGCAAGCCUGAUGGAGCCAUGCCGCGUGUGUGAAGAAGGCUUUCGGGUUGUAAAGCACUUUCGGCGGGGAGGCGUUACCCGCCGAAGAAGCCCCGGCUAACUCCGUGCCAGCAGCCGCGGUAAUUC
rnacentral:rRNA from 1 species